rnacentral:lncRNA from 1 species
AGAACCAGAACAUAUAUGCAAUAGCCACUGCUGGAGCUCUCCCUAAACCAGCUGUGCAGUGCACAUAUACUCUUCCUUUUCCCUCAGCAAUGGCCCAUUCCAAUGAAGAAACAGCUUUAGGUAAUAUAUUUCUCAAGGAAUCUGGAUCAAAGUCUCUUGCCUAUCAAUGCAUAAGAUAGCAGGAUCAAUUCAAGCAUCCAAAAACAUUAAACUUACUUACAAGUUAUCAUUUGAUUCACUUGUUUAUGAUAUCCAAACAGGACCAAUAAUUUUCUUUAAUGAAGCCUACAUUUCCUAGUAGUCAUUCAAACUUCAUUUAAGGAGUGUUGUUGAUCUGAUUCAUUUUUUCCUGAAUGAAUAAAUUAUUAUAAAGUGUGAGAAAAUUUUCCUUACAGGUGUUCUCAUAUGAUGAAUUCCAAGUUGUCGACAUCUUUUGAUUAUAGGCUGCAAGUCGAUUCCCCAAUACUCGAUGUCAUUGUCCUGCUGCAAGUUCAGUAUAUAGGCCACCUUCUCUUCUUGUUUCAGAUGAUCUAUGUCUUCGGGU